UUCCACUACGUUGUUUGUUUAUUCCACUACGUUGUUUGUUUAUUCCGCUACGUUGUUUGUUUAUUCCACUACGUUGUUUGUUUAUUCCACUACGUUGUUUGUUUAUUCCGCUACGUUGUUUGUUUAUUCCACUACGUUGUUUGUUUAUUCCACUAUUGAUUAUUUUAAACAUAAUUCCAGCCUUAAUCUUUUUGCGUCGUAAACAAAGAUUGUCUAGGUGCAAAUUAUUCAAAAGAGAACUAGCGCUUGUAUCAUAGUGCGACCUCGUAAUGACUCUUACUGCUCGGUUCUGUAGUUUCUGUAUUUUAUUACUGAGAGUUUCUCCAAAACCGUCCCAGACCGAGCAGCAGUAGUCAAAAUGAGGUUGUAUCAAGGCAUCUCAAACUCAUUAAUAAUUCAUGAGCAAAUUAGCGAAUGAACUCACCCUAAUUCGUCACAUGAUUGAGGUUGGAUACCGCAGGAAACACGCUAAAAAUCAUAUACCAUCACUGUUGUUGGAUGAAAAACGGUUUUCAUCUAAUAACUGAGAUCCUAAUUACAAAUUCAAGUCAAAACACAACAAUAUACUAUAAUAAUAUAUAUAAGCCAAUGAAAUGUUUUCGUUUGAGAUGUUGUGUAAACAAC